GACGAACGCUGGCGGCGUGCUUAACACAUGCAAGUCGAACGGAAAGGCCCUGCUUUUGUGGGGUUCUCGAGUGGCGAACGGGUGAGUAACACGUGAGUAACCUGCCCUUGACUUUGGGAUAACUUCAGGAAACUGGGGCUAAUACCGGAUAGGAGCUCCUGCUGCAUGGUGGGGGUUGGAAAGUUUCGGCGGUUGGGGAUGGACUCGCGGCUUAUCAGCUUGUUGGUGGGGUAGUGGCUUACCAAGGCCUUGACGGGUAGCCGGCCUGAGAGGGUGACCGGGCACAUUGCGACUGAGAUACGGCCCAGACUCCUACGGGAGGCAGCAGUGGGGACUAUUGCACAAUGGGCGGACGCCGGAUGCAGCAACGCCGCGUGCGGGAUGACGGCCUUCGGGGUGUAAACCGCUGUCGCCUGGUACGAAGCGUGAGUGACGGUAAUGGGUAAAGAAGCACCGGCUAACUACGUG
rnacentral:rRNA from 1 species